UACGAAGGGGCUAGCGUUGUUCGGAAUUACUGGGCGUAAAGGGCGCGUAGGCGGUGUGUCAAGUCAGGCGUGAAAGCCCCGGGCUCAACCUGGGAAUUGCAUUCGAGACUGAAUAGCUAGGGUACGGUAGAGGGAAGCGGAAUUUCCGGUGUAGCGGUGAAAUGCGUAGAUAUCGGAAGGAACAUCAGUGGCGAAAGCGGCUUCCUGGACCAGUACCGACGUCAGGCACGAAAGCGUGGGGAGCAAACAGG
rnacentral:rRNA from 1 species